CCCUUAGAUGUCCUGGGCCGCACGCGCGCUACACUGAGUGUCUGAGAUACGAGUCUGCCUGGUCCGGCAAGGUCUAGGUAAUCGCUAAAAGACACAUCAUGCUUGGGAUAGAUUAUUGCAAAUAUUAAUCUUGAACGAGGAAUUCCUAGUAAGCGCAAGUCAACAGCUUGCGUUGAUUACGUCCCUGCCCUUUGUACACACCGCCCGUCGCUACUACUGAUUGGAUGUUUAAGCGAGGUUCUCGAACUUCUAGCGACUUAGCUUCGGUGAGGUCGCAGUGUGGGAAGUGAACCUAGCUUUGGUGUCUAGAGGAAGUAAAAGUCGUAACA
rnacentral:rRNA from 1 species